rnacentral:rRNA from 1 species
AUUGAACGCUGGCGGCAGGCUUAACACAUGCAAGUCGAGCGGGGGAAGGUAGCUUGCUACCGGACCUAGCGGCGGACGGGUGAGUAAUGCUUAGGAAUCUGCCUAUUAGUGGGGGACAACAUCUCGAAAGGGAUGCUAAUACCGCAUACGUCCUACGGGAGAAAGCAGGGGAUCUUCGGACCUUGCGCUAAUAGAUGAGCCUAAGUCGGAUUAGCUAGUUGGUGGGGUAAAGGCCUACCAAGGCGACGAUCUGUAGCGGGUCUGAGAGGAUGAACUGCGGCAGUGAGACUGAUAGCAGUCCCAGACUCCUACGUGUGGCUGCAGUGGGGGAUAUUGGACAAUGGCGCGAAGCCUUAUCCAGCUAUGCGGCGUGUGUGAAGAAGGCCUUAUGGUUGUAGAGCACUUUAAGCGAGGGGGAGGCUACUGUAGUUAAUACCUAGAGAUAGUGGACGUUACUCGCAGAAUAAGCACCGGCUAACUCUGUGCCAGCCGCCGCAGUAA